GUGAAGCCAACAGGCAUCCUUCUGGGAGCCUGGUCGCUGCACCUAUGAUUAGUUCAGAAGAGCUCGUGUUGGAGUAGGACGGGUCCCUGCCUGGCACAAUGUGACUGUGUCCCUGUAAGAAGAGGGUGAUGUGGACACACACAGAGGAGGCCACGUCAAGGCACAGAUGGGUGAUGCGGAGGGAAGACAAGGACUACCGGCCACAGCUGGAGCUGGAAGAGCAGCUGGAGGCUGGCCCUGCCCAUGCCUCGGUCUCAGACUUCUGGCCUCCAGAACCAAGGGCCACACAGUGCCAUCCCCUCCCAGGGCACAAACAGCUCUCCAUUGGCCUUCCGUGUGUGCGUGUGCUGUGGGACUCCUACAAGCACCGGGGUCGCCCUCCUCUCCGCAGUUUGCCAGAAGAGCCAGCUCUGCUCUGAACUGUGAGAGGUCUUGCUGUCCCUCCCCUCCCCCAUCCUGGCCUCCUCCCCCCCACACUUGGCACUCUCCUGCCCACCCCCUGCCCCACCUGUGCACACCUCAGCUGACCUCAGAGUCUGGUGUGGUCACUCGCUGUCCUUCUGGGCCUUCCUGUCCUCCUGUCUGGGUCCCUCACUGCCUCCUGAGUGUGUGGGAACCACCCUGGCUCAGAGCCUUUGCCUGCUGGCCCUGGGCUGGGAUCGCUGUCCUAAGGGACAGCCUUUCCUCACCUGAUCACAUCUGUGCUCAUGGCUGGCUCAGGAUGUGCCUGGCUGGGCACCGUCCUUCCUCUUCUCAGCCCCCCUGGGCGACCUGCUCCAGUCCUCUGCCACCUGCUUUGUCUCCUGUGCAGCUCUGGUCACUUCUAGAGGACUAAGUAACUCACUGCUUCUC
rnacentral:lncRNA from 1 species